rnacentral:rRNA from 1 species
GAGAGUUUGAUUCUGGCUCAGGAUGAACGCUGGCGGCGUGCCUAAUACAUGCAAGUCGAGCGAACAGACGAGGAGCUUGCUCCUCUGACGUUAGCGGCGGACGGGUGAGUAACACGUGGAUAACCUACCUAUAAGACUGGGAUAACUUCGGGAAACCGGAGCUAAUACCGGAUAAUAUAUUGAACCGCAUGGUUCAAUAGUGAAAGACGGUUUUGCUGUCACUUAUAGAUGGAUCCGCGCCGCAUUAGCUAGUUGGUAAGGUAACGGCUUACCAAGGCAACGAUGCGUAGCCGACCUGAGAGGGUGAUCGGCCACAUUGGGACUGAGACACGGCCCAAACUCCUACGGGAGGCAGCAGUGGGGAAUAUUGGACAAUGGGGGAAACCCUGAUCCAGCGACGCCGCGUGAGUGAAGAAGUAUUUCGGUAUGUAAAGCUCUAUCAGCAGGGAAGAAAAUGACGGUACCUGACUAAGAAGCCCCGGCUAACUACGUGCCAGCAGCCGCGGUAAUACGUAGGGGGCAAGCGUUAUCCGGAUUUACUGGGUGUAAAGGGAGCGUAGACGGCGAUGUAAGUCUGAAGUGAAAGCCCACGGCUCAACUGUGGGACUGCUUUGGAAACUAUAUAGCUAGAGUAUCGGAGGGGCAAGCGGAAUUCCUAGUGUAGCGGUGAAAUGCGUAGAUAUUAGGAGGAACACCGGAGGCGAAGGCGGCUUGCUGGACGAAGACUGACGUUGAGGCUCGAAGGCGUGGGGAGCAAACAGGAUUAGAUACCCUGGUAGUCCACGCAGUAAACGAUGAAUACUAGAUGUCGGAGAGGUUACUUUUCGGUGUCGUCGCAAACGCAAUAAGUAUUCCACCUGGGGAGUACGUCCGCAAGAAUGAAACUCAAAGGAAUUGACGGGGACCCGCACAAGCGGUGGAGCAUGUGGUUUAAUUCGAAGCAACGCGAAGAACCUUACCAAGUCUUGACAUACCUUUGAAUAGUGAGUAAAGUUACUAGCCCUUCGGGGCAGGGGAUACAGGUGGUGCAUGGUUGUCGUCAGCUCGUGUCGUGAGAUGUUGGGUUAAGUCCCGCAACGAGCGCAACCCUUGUUCUUAGUAGCCAGCAGUAAGAUGGGAACUCUAAGAAGACUGCCAUGGAUAACAUGGAGGAAGGUGGGGAUGACGUCAAAUCAUCAUGCCCCUUAUGAUUUGGGCUACACACGUGCUACAAUGGCGUAAACAGAGGGAGGCGAAAGAGAGAUCUGGAGCAAAUCCCAAAAAUAACGUCUCAGUUCGGAUUGUAGGCUGCAACUCGCCUACAUGAAGCUGGAAUCGCUAGUAAUCGCAAAUCAGAAUGUUGCGGUGAAUACGUUCCCGGGUCUUGUACACACCGCCCGUCACACCAUGGGAGUCAUCAAUGCCCGAAGUCAGUGACCUAACCGAAAGGGAGGAGCUGCCGAAGGCAGGGAGGAUAACUGGGGUGAAGUCGUAACAAGGUAGCCGUAUCGGAAGGUGCGGCUGGAACACCU